rnacentral:rRNA from 1 species
UCAGCAAGUCGGCCGUGAAAACCUGAGGCUCAACCUCAGGACGCCGGUCGAAACUGCUGUGGCUAGGGUUCGGUAGAGGAGAGUGGAAUUCCCGGUGUAGCGGUGAAAUGCGCAGAUAUCGGGAGGAACACCAGUAGCGAAGGCGGCUCUCUGGGCCGACACCGACGCUGAGGAGCGAAAGCUAGGGGAGCAAACAGGAUUAGAUACCCUGGUAGUCCUAGCCGUAAACGUUGGGAACUAGGUGUGGCGGAUUCAUUGACAUCUGCCGUGCCGAAGCUAACGCAUUAAGUUCCCCGCCUGGGGAGUACGGUCGCAAGGCUAAAACUCAAAGGAAUUGACGGGAGCCCGCACAAGCGGCGGAGCAUGCGGCUUAAUUCGAUGGUACCCGAAGAACCUUACCUGGACUUGACAUAAUGGGAAAAACCCUAGAGAUAGGGUGUGCGUAAGCGUCCAUUACAGGUGGUGCAUGGCUGUCGUCAGCUCGUGUCGUGAGAUGUUGGGUUAAGUCCCGCAACGAGCGCAACCCCUAUCCUAUGUUGCCAGCGGAUUAUGCCGGGGACUCAUGGGAGACUGCCGGGGACAACUCGGAGGAAGGCGGGGACGACGUCAAGUCAUCAUGCCCCUUAUGUCCAGGGCUGCACGCAUGCUACAAUGGCAGGUACAACGGGCAGCGAUCCCGCGAGGGUGAGCGAAUCCUUUAAAGCCUGUCUCAGUUCGGAUCGGAGUCUGCAACUCGACUCCGUGAAGUCGGAGUCGCUAGUAAUCGCGAAUCAGCUAUGUCGCGGUGAAUACGUUCUCGGGCUUUGUACACACCGCCCGUCACAUCACGAAAGUUGGCAACACCCGAAGUCAGUGGCCCAACCGCAAGGAGGGAGCUGCCGAAGGUGGGGUCAGCGAUUGGGAUGAAGUCGUAACAAGGU